UACAGAGGUGGCAAGCGUUGUUCGGAAUUACUGGGCGUAAAGGGCGCGUAGGCGGCCUUCUAAGUCAGACGUGAAAUCCCCCGGCUUAACCUGGGAACUGCGUCUGAUACUGGGAGGCUUGAGUAUGGGAGAGGGAUGUAGAAUUCCAGGUGUAGCGGUGAAAUGCGUAGAUAUCUGGAGGAAUACCGGUGGCGAAGGCGGCAUCCUGGACCAUAACUGACGCUGAGGCGCGAAAAGCUAGGGGAGCAAACGGG
rnacentral:rRNA from 1 species